rnacentral:rRNA from 1 species
GAUGAACGCUGGCGGCGUGCCUAAUACAUGCAAGUCGAGCGAACAGACGAGGAGCUUGCUCCUCCGACGUUAGCGGCGGACGGGUGAGUAACACGUGGAUAACCUACCUAUAAGACUGGGAUAACUUCGGGAAACCGGAGCUAAUACCGGAUAAUAUAUUGAACCGCAUGGUUCAAUAGUGAAAGACGGUUUUGCUGUCACUUAUAGAUGGAUCCGCGCCGCAUUAGCUAGUUGGUAAGGUAACGGCUUACCAAGGCGACGAUGCGUAGCCGACCUGAGAGGGUGAUCGGCCACACUGGAACUGAGACACGGUCCAGACUCCUACGGGAGGCAGCAGUAGGGAAUCUUCCGCAAUGGGCGAAAGCCUGACGGAGCAACGCCGCGUGAGUGAUGAAGGUCUUCGGAUCGUAAAACUCUGCUAUUAGGGAAGAACAAAUGUGUAAGUAACUAUGCACGUCUUGACGGUACCUAAUCAGAAAGCCACGGCUAACUACGUG